AGUGCAAGUCGGCUUGGUUGUCAAACAGUAACACUAUCGCUUCCGUCCAGACUUUGAGCAGGAAGAUUCGAGGACCUAUGGUUCUUGGAAUGUGGACAACGCAGAAAGAGGGCGUGCUGCUCUGCUGGCCUCAUUCUCAGUACCAGGGGAGCGGCAGACUGUCACAGAUCUGAGGGACAUGGCACUGGAGCGACUGCUGACACCAGUUGCACCGGCAACUGAUCACCUGUACACGUUCUCAAUGGGCUUGACCCCACAGUGACCCACAUCCACACAGUGCCACAUGCCCGUUCGGCUGGACAUGGCAAAACACAGCCCUGCCCAGUUCCAGCUCCACCAGGGCCACGGGAAUGUUGGCGGCACCCCCUCUGCUGGCUGAGGUCUGGAGGUCCACUCUCCAGGUGAGGCCCUUCAGGCCGGGCUCCCAGCGGCUCUGGCCCAGCAGGCUCUCCCUCACCCGGGCCCGAUGGCUCUUCCAGAACCGGGAGAGGGCGGCCGCCUGCUCGGCGCUCACACUCCCCGUGCCUUGCUUCCUGGUCUGGGCAGUCAGGAAGGCUUCCAGCUGGGCCUGGUCCAUGUUUGCAGCGGCAAUGGACUGAGAAGGGGAGAAGAAAACAAGCAGAGAU